UGCAGGAAGGGGAAAGUUUUGUCUCUACUUGUUUGCUCCCCCUUCCUAGAUAAAGAAGGUCUCUCCAGACUUCAGGCAGUUGCUGGGGAAUGGACACAUUAGGAUGAGAGUAAUGCCUUCAAAGUGAGAAGAGAAGGACUGCAGGUUGUCCAAACUUCUCCAAGAGCUAAGUUGGCAUAGGAGACAUGGUGUUUGUGAGGGGAAUGGAAAUGAUGAAAAGAAAAAACGGCCAAGUCAGUUCCAGCUGUCAGAGUUCUGUUCCUACUCCUCAUACGUGUCAUAAGCAAAAUUCUUGCAUGGAUGAGAUGGAAAUCCCCCAAGAGCCCCAUUCUUCUGUGUGUGCCAGAGAAGAGGAGGACAUGAGAAUUGACUCAAAGGACAUUCCAGAUUAAAUAAAUGAAGCCAUGAGAA